CUCAAUCCGAUUGCGUCUCCCAAACCCUAACCAUUCAAAUCCACCGUUUCAUCUCUGCAUCUUCCGCCGUUUCAUCUAUUUUCACUUGAAAGAGCCUUAGAUGUAUUCGAUCUACAAUUCAGAAAGAAACCCGAUCGUGAUUGAUCUAGCCGCAUCAAGCCACUGUGGUUACGCAAUCUGGAGAUGGGUAGGAUUUAAUCAGAGUUUUCGCAUCACUUGAGGUAAGUUUCUGGUUUACGGGUUAAUGUUUGUAGCAUUUAAUAUCUUGAUACUCGAUUUAAAAAAACCAUAAUUUGUGGUCGAGAUAUAUGGUGUUAAUGGCGCCCACGGUCGAGAAGCGUAUGAUAGCGGUUUCGUCUGAGAAGCAGCUGCUGCUGAUAGUAAAAAUUUGUAAGAACACCAUGAUUUCCGAUCAUACGUUGUGAAAAUUGCGAUUCAUAUUUCAAUUGAAUGCCGCCUUCAUUGACAAGGAUAUGACGAAAUAGAUCAAGAUUCACUGGUCCAUUGGCCAUUCAGGUUCACUGGUCCAUGAAACAGGCCAGAACAAUCAGAUGGAACUUAUCAGCAAAUGCAACAAGGCCCAACCCUCAAGGAAUGAUUUUUGAAGAGUGUGGUACUAGAAGUAGCAUGGCGUAAUUAAGAUAAAUGAUUUGUGUUCGUAGACGUUCUAUAAGGUGCGUGUGACAUUUGGUGCAUAAUAUUUGAUUGGUUUCAGUUCUUCAAGGUCAAAAAUGGGGGCAAAGUCAAACGAUUUUUGAAGGUGCAGUAGAUUUUUUUGUAGUUUCAUGUACAUGAUGGUAUACACCGAUUGUUUAUAUGAACAUAAAAAUUGGACAAAAAGCCGGUCGGCCAACCCGAGCGAACCCGUUUCGGUCCAUACAAAAAGGACCAGUUUUCAUCAACUUAGAAUUCAUAACUUAGUAUCACACUCUCUAGCAUCCGGUUUGUGCAGAUCACAGAGAUCUGGAUUAUAAAGGGUCAUAAGGAGCUCGAAGCGGAGUUGAAGAAAAUGGUGCUGGUUAUUUUCUGAGCGCCUUGUGGAUGUUGUGCUUGGAGAUAUGAGGUUGGAGACAAGGUUUAGAAAAGCCAGGUUAUUUGCAUUAUUGAGGCCAUGAAGUUGAUGAAUGAGAUUGAGUUCUGGCCGUCUCAAGCAUAGUUACCUAAAUCGCUAGGUUAGCCACGGUAUUGGAUCGUGGUGUAUCCAAUCGAAAAUCAUAAACGUACCGGAACGUGUCAAAAAUAUGAAUCUAAGAGCUUCUGGGAUCAUAGUCACCUGGAUCAAGGGAGAAGUGUGCUGGCACCGAUUGGUCAUUGGUCACCACAAAUGACGGGAAAAGAUAUUACUACAAUGCUAAAACCAAGCUGAGCAACUGGCAAAUACCAGCAGAUGUGGCCAAGUUAAGAAAGACGCAGGAAAAUGAUGCUUUAAAAGAACAAUCAAUAUCAAUGCAUAACGUAACUACUUUAACUGAAAAAGGAUCUGGCCCAUUAAGCUUGAACGCCCCUGCUAUUACCACAUGUGGCUGUGAUGCCAUAUCUCCUGUCUCACCAUCUACACUUGAUUUGAUAAAAAAGAAACUGCAAGAUUCUGCAGCUCCUGCUACCAUUGGAUCUGACCUGAACGGUAGAAAAUGGAAAAAUGCAUGUUUUAUGCCGAUAGAUGCUGGUGCGGAACUGAAUAAUGUCUUCUACCACUUUGUAAAGGUAAUAUCUUGCUUUUUAUAGCUUCGCUUGGCUUGGCUUUUUCUGGACAUGGCUUAUUUACAAAACAAGUUGACGCGGCUCAGUUCAUUUACAAGUGAUCCAACUACAACAAAUAAGGUUUUGUAUCUGUACUACAUCGGCUUUUAUUGACUUGCCAAGUUUUGAAAAAACUUGAGAUGGAUAAGGAGUAGCUAGGCAACGUUCAGGUAAUUGGGGAAGAUUAUUAUGUUAAACCUGCAGAAGGUCAUUCCGUGCUCUACUUGAUGUUGGUCUUAUCAAAAAAUCACUGAAAACCGUGUUUUUGGUGCCCUUAAGUGUCAUUAUGUUAAACAUGAAGAAGGUCAUUCACAUACAUUUGUAUAUCUGCUGAUAAAAUGAUUUGAAUGUUUAAUAUGAUUAUCAAAGAGUAUUAUUUGAAUAAUAACUUAGAUAUAUUUCUUAAAUGGCUAUAUUAUGUACCUUAUAUGAAUAAAGUGAUUAAAAUAUUAUUAGGGAGCUCUAGAUGGUGGGAUUUAUAUCGCCGUCAUUGUUUUCUAAACUAAUGCAAAAUUAUGAGUGACAUCUUUACUGAAAUCGGAAUUUAUUUGAUAUUAUAAACAGACACAAAGAAAACCAAAAAAAAAUGUUUAUGAUUUUGAAAGGGGAUUUGAUAAGGAAAAAGGAAAGAAUAUUUGUGUGUAUGGGUUACUUUUUUAACUGUAAUAUGGAAAAGUGUCAAUUGGUUUGUAAGAUACCAAAAUAUAAACAUUGACAACUUGAUUUUCUUAUUAAAGAAAUAGAAACUAUGUAUAGUCCUCGUGGUACUGUCCCAUGCAAUCUAUUAUGUGAAAAUCGAAUAAAUCUUAUGUUUGUGCGAUUGUGCUUCGAACCAGGAAUAGUACCAGUGAACUUAUUGAUGCAAAAGUUGAAAUUUAGAAGAUUUGGGAGUGCGUCCGCAACAUUGUAAGGUAUAUCACCCGACAAAUCGUUAGAAUCUACAGCUAGCGACUCGAGGGAAUACAUGUUGUAAAUGGAUAAAGGAACCGUGCCAGUAAGAUUAUUAAUGGUUGGCAUCGUAUGGGUUACAACUACGCUGACGGCAGUAAGAUGUUAAUAGAGCUCGAAAAUUGCAUUCGUAAGCUACAAUCCAUAGCCGGGAAUGCAGUCACUGAAGGACGAUACAUAGUCUUUGGUGCCGGGUCAGCCCAACUUCUAAGUGCAGCGGUUUACGCUAUUUCUUCAUGAAACUCUUCUUCACCAUCGAAUGUCCUCACUUCC
rnacentral:lncRNA from 1 species